CUGCAUUUACUGAUAGACCUUAAAUAAUUUGCUGUUGUUCUUUUGGUUUGCAUUAGGAUACAAAAGAAACAAACUCUGUGUACCUUCUGUCUUUGUGGCCCAGAUUGAAUAAGGGAAUAUAUUU
ensembl:snoRNA